rnacentral:rRNA from 1 species
UGGGGAAUAUUGCACAAUGGGCGAAAGCCUGAUGCAGCAACGCCGCGUGAGUGAUGAAGGCCUUCGGGUUGUAAAGCUCUGUCUUCUGGGACGAUAAUGACGGUACCAGAGGAGGAAGCCACGGCUAACUACGUGCCAGCAGCCGCGGUAAUACGUAGGUGGCAAGCGUUGUCCGGAUUUACUGGGUGUAAAGGGCGUGUAGGCGGGGAUGCAAGUCAGAUGUGAAAUGCCGGAGCUUAACUCCGGAGCUGCAUCUGAAACUGUGUUUCUUGAGUGUCGGAGAGNAAAGCGGAAUUCCCAGUGUAGCGGUGAAAUGCGUAGAUAUUGGGAGGAACACCAGUGGCGAAGGCGGCUUUCUGGACGAUAACUGACGCUGAGGCGCGAAAGCGUGGGGAGCAAACA